rnacentral:rRNA from 1 species
AUGAACGCUGGCGGCGUGCCUAAUCCAUGCAAGUCGAGCGAACGGACGAGAAGCUUGCUUUUCUGAUGUUAGCGGCGGACGGGUGAGUAACACGUGGAUAACCUACCUAUAAGACUGGGAUAACUUCGGGAAACCGGAGCUAAUACCGGAUAAUAUUUUGAACCGCAUGGUUCAAAAGUGAAAGACGGUCUUGCUGUCACUUAUAGAUGGAUCCGCGCUGCAUUAGCUAGUUGGUAAGGUAACGGCUUACCAAGGCAACGAUGCAUAGCCGACCUGAGAGGGUGAUCGGCCACACUGGAACUGAGACACGGUCCAGACUCCUACGGGAGGCAGCAGUAGGGAAUCUUCCGCAAUGGGCGAAAGCCUGGCGGAGCAACGCCGCGUGAGUGAUGAAGGUCUUCGGAUCGUAAAACUCUGUUAUUAGGGAAGAACAUAUGUGUAAGUAACUGUGCACAUCUUGACGGUACCUAAUCAGAAAGCCACGGCUAACUACGUG